rnacentral:rRNA from 1 species
CUAACAAGGAUUCCCCCAGUAACGGCGAGUGAAGCGGGAAGAGCUCAAAUUUGAAAUCUCCGGCGCUUGCGUCGGCGAGUUGUAGUUGCGAGAAGCACUUUCUAGGUGGAUCGGUCGCGCCUAAGUUGCUUGGAACGGCAGGUCGCAGAGGGUGACAACCCCGUCUGUGGCGCGAGCGGCCGCCGACGAUGUGCUUUCGAAGAGUCGGGUUGUUUGGGAAUGCAGCCCAAAACGGGUGGUAAACUCCAUCUAAAGCUAAAUAUUGGCGCGAGACCGAUAGCGAACAAGUACCGUGAGGGAAAGAUGAAAAGAACUUUGAAAAGAGAGUUAAAAAGUACGUGAAACCGUCGGAAGGGAAACGAAUGGACUCAGCAAUGCGCCGUUUGAGAUUCAGCCGGUCGGCUCCGUCGGUGGGGGGUCUUGCGGAUCCGAACGGACCGCGGCCCCCGACCCGCGGCGCCGGGCCGUCGCACUUCUCUUGGGCGCGCGUCAACGUCGGUUGGGACUGGGUCUGAAAGGUGCCGGGAAGGUAGGUUCGGCAGCCCGGUUCUCCUCAUGGCUCGGGCCCGACCGAGGAGUUUCGCAGCGCAUGCCUCAUGUGGCUAGGGCGCCGACCUCUCCGGCCGGUAGUCGAAUGCGGUGGACUGCUUGCAGUGUUCCGCGACCGCUGCCGGUCGUUGGGUCGGUGGUCUCGUAAUAUGCGCUUGGGACGUUGGCGGUCAUAUGGGUCC